rnacentral:misc_RNA from 1 species
AAAUUGCGAGUCGACUGUUGUUGUUAUCCAAAGAAUCUCAGCAUCAUUUGUUUUUUCGGUUGUUGGUGCUGCACUGGUUAAUUGGGUUCAUAGGGUUGGUAUUGAAGAGGGAUUUUGAGAAAAGGAAGAAUGUUGUUGAUAUGAGCUUGAGCUUUUACCCGUCGGUGUUUGAUCCCCUCGCUUUGAAAUCAUUGAAGCUUGACUUGCUUGCCUAUUGUUCAGUUUUGAUUGAUAAUGACAACGGAGUAAGGAGUUCAAAAGGCAGUCCACAAAUAACUCGGGAAAAGUUAUUUGAAGAUGGCCUUGUUUGUGUAUCAUCUUUUAAAUGGUUGCCUCCUUGGAGUACGGAAACUUCUGUGGCAUUCCGUGCAAUCCAUAAGUUUUUGAUCGGUCAGACAUCUCACUCAGAAAAUGAUUCUAUCUCCAAUAAAAGCCUUUUGGAGCCAGCAAUCUACCACACUGUGCAGAGAUCACUUAUAGACUCUUUGUCGGAAUAUAGAGGAUUGGUCCCUGUCAUUGUUAGCUUCACAGACCGCUUGUUGACAUGUUACAAACAUCAAUUUUUUGGAGAACGGCUACUUAAGACAUUUGAUGAUAACUUGCUUCCAAAACUCAAGAUAGACUACAAAUUGGUAUCUUAUUUCUGUAUAUUGGGAAGGAUUGCUG